UACGUAGGGGGCAAGCGUUGUCCGGAAUCAUUGGGCGUAAAGAGCGCGUAGGCGGCCAACUAAGUCAGACGUGAAAUCCCUCGGCUUAACCGGGGAACUGCGUCUGAUACUGGAUGGCUUGAAUCCGGGAGAGGGAUGCGGAAUUCCAGGUGUAGCGGUGAAAUGCGUAGAUAUCUGGAGGAACACCGGUGGCGAAGGCGGCAUCCUGGACCGGCAUUGACGCUGAGGAGCGAAAGCCAGGGGAGCAAACGGG
rnacentral:rRNA from 1 species